GUCAAAUCAUCAUGCCCCUUAUGUCCUGGGCUACACACGUACUACAAUGGCUGUUGACAACGGGAAGCCAAGCCGCGAGGCGGAGCAAAUCCCUUAAAAGCAGCCCCAGUUCGGAUUGCAGGCUGAAACUCGCCUGUAUGAAGUUGGAAUUGCUAGUAAUCGCGGAUCAGCAUGCCGCGGUGAAUACGUUCCCGGGCCUU
rnacentral:rRNA from 1 species